rnacentral:rRNA from 1 species
GACGAACGCUGGCGGCGUGCCUAAUACAUGCAAGUCGAACGCUUCUUUCCUCCCGAGUGCUUGCACUCAAUUGGAAAGAGGAGUGACGGACGGGUGAGUAACACGUGGGUAACCUACCCAUCAGAGGGGGAUAACACUUGGAAACAGGUGCUAAUACCGCAUAACAGUUUAUGCCGCAUGGCAUAAGAGUGCAAGGCGCUUUCGGGUGUCGCUGAUGGAUGGACCCGCGGUGCAUUAGCUAGUUGGUGAGGUAACGGCUCACCAAGGCCACGAUGCAUAGCCGACCUGAGAGGGUGAUCGGCCACACUGGGACUGAGACACGGCCCAGACUCCUACGGGAGGCAGCAGUAGGGAAUCUUCGGCAAUGGACGAAAGUCUGACCGAGCAACGCCGCGUGAGUGAAGAAGGUUUUCGGAUCGUAAAACUCUGUUGUUAGAGAAGAACAAGGACGUUAGUAACUGAACGUCCCCUGACGGUAUCUAACCAGAAAGCCACGGCUAACUACGUG